CCUCUUUCUCAAUCCCCUCCACUACCCCUCCUCUGCAGCCCCACCGUUCCGGCGGUCUCUCCUUCCUCCAUCUCCCCACCUGCGCCCUCCCUCUUACCGAGGCUCUCCCGUACAUCCUCCAGUACCACUCCCAUUGGUAACCCUCCCUCCCCCAUACCACUUGUGGUUCUGAUCUAGGGAGUUCGACGGCGACGGCGACCAUACGAGCAAUGGCAGCUGCAACUUGGGCACGCGCAGAUCCGGCACAGAGCUCAAGCCCGACGUCGGCCUUGUCGGAGCUGAGCGGCCGUGCGGUGGUCGGUGUACUGCGACGGCUCGCUGGAGGCAGCAGCGAACCCUAGUCGCCACUGGUCACCAGCGCCUGGCCCACCUCUCCUGUUGGCUUCCUCGACGCCGUGGCCUAGUGCUACUGCGUGACUGCAGUGGCGGCCUUCACCAUUGUCAAGCCCUGAGUUGCAGUUCUGCAAACUAGUGAGUAUAUUUGUUUCGCCUCUGCACAUGGUUGUUGCCGGUGGGCAUGGUGGGUGGGCAUGGCUCCUUUCUGCAACUCAAGGUCACUGGUAUAUAAGGUUUUUGCAAGUGAAUACAGUACACAUAAAUCCGAGGCUCCUGUUUCAGAACAGUUACAAGAAAACGCAAAGUGUUACUAAUGAUGUUUGUAAAUCCUCCGUGAGCCAUCUAUGUAAAUAUGUAAUUGCUGGGUCAUCUAAACAGUAGCGUGAUGCUAAUAAGCUUCAGCUGCUAUGUGAAAAUUAUACAACUAUGUAAAUAUCUUUUGUUGGGUCAUCUAAAGAGUAAUGUAAUUGUAAUAAGCUUUG